AAAGCAGCAAGCCUACCGAGCAUUGAGCAAGGAAGUUAAGAAUUAAGAACCAAGCUCUAGAGGGCCACAUUCGUCUUUCUGCAAAACAAAUUGCCGGCUGUACUCCACUGUCCCUCACUGUAACAGAACAGUGCUCUUCACGGCUCUCUCUCUCUCUCUUACCCAUUUUCCCGGGAAAAUAGAGGGAAAAUUCUCAGUCAGGUGGGGUUUAGGGUUUGCGUAACGAAUCAUAAAAAUGUCUCAGACUGGGAAAUUGAUGCCGAAUCUGGAUCAGCAGAGCACUAAGAUGCUCAAUCUGACAGUUCUUCAGAGAAUCGAUCCCUUCAUUGAAGAGAUUCUGAUCACGGCUGCCCAUGUCACUUUCUACGAGUUUAAUAUCGAAAGCAACCAGUGGAGUAGAAAGGACGUUGAAGGAUCUCUAUUUGUCGUUAAGAGGAAUACUCAGCCCCGGUUUCAGUUCAUUGUAAUGAAUCGGCGAAAUACAGGUUCGGAUAUGUAUUAAUUUGGAAGAUAAUGCUCUAUGAAUUGUUGUAUUUUAGCUCUUCAAUGCUGAAUGUAGUUCCAUAAUGCUUUAUGUCUAGCCUGAGGCAUAUUUUGUGGCCAUAUCAUAUGAGUUAUGAUUUUCAAUGGCUUCCGUUUUCCUCUGUUUGUUCUGUGGGGUUAAAUAAAUACUAUAUAUUUUAAAAUUUCAAGUUUUAUAUUGACAACCAAAUCUCUGUUGACCAUUUUUUACUAAAAUUUUGAUUCACGGAACUGCAUUCUGUCAUAUGUAGUUACUUAUUUAUACCGUCAAGUUUUUUGAAAUAUUUUAUUUUCUUUUUUGUACAGAAAACCUAGUAGAGAAUCUAUUGGGGGAUUUUGAGUAUGAAGUUCAAGUGCCAUAUUUAUUGUAUCGAAAUGCAGCCCAAGAAGUAAAUGGUAUUUGGUUUUACAAUUCACGUGAGUGUGAGGAAGUUGCCAAUCUCUUUAGUAGGUACAGCACAUUUGUUAUUAACAUUAUUAGAUUGAUUUUUUAGAUGUCAACUUGGAAUUUCAACAUACUAAAUGCGUAAUUGGUAAUGGGUGGGUGAGAAACUAAGUGUAUGAACCUUAAGACUUUGGUAACAAAUGAAGGUUAUAAAUUUAGAAGUUAAGAGAAUUUGUAGAUGGGAGAAAGCAUAAUUAUAUAUAUUGGCUUUGAUUCAUGAAUACUGUGAAGAUUAGCACAGUGAAGGACCUUUGGGGCUUCCAAUUGCAAUAAGCUUUAGUGGGGGUUGAAGCAUUAAAGGAUUCUCAUGAUUAGUAUAUUGAUGAUGAUGAUGAUGAAGAGAAUUCAUUGAAUUAAAUUAGUUGAUUUCAUUAUUUGGUUUCAGUUCAGCCUAUAUGUUCGAUUUUAGUGGUGGUGAAUUGGAGUAUGAUUAUUGUAUUAAAACAUUUAUUUGUUUGGCUUUAUUGAUAUCCUAUUCUUUUGCUAAUCAGCUGUUUUUUGGAUAUUGUUGUGGUUGUAGGAAUUGUGGACAAUUCUUUUAUAUUGAGACUACAUAUCCAAUUUUUCUUUUUCUUUUUAAAUUUUUUUGUUUAUUUGUUCACAAGUUGGUUGAAUAUGCUAUUUAUGACUGUGGUGUGACAAAGUUAUUAUUUGUAAAAAAGCUGAGUGCCUUUUUAAUUUCUUUUAAUUGUUGGCUUGUUUUGGUUUUCCACUCUUUUACUUAAUGAAGUUAUCAUAUAUAUCAAUGUUAGGUGCCAUUUGAUUUCUCAAGUGGUGUAGCUGUUGGUUGUUGACAUUUUUUUUCCACUCAUAAAUUUGUUUUCUGCAUUCUUCUUUGGCAUCUCAUUGUGUAUUAUGGUUUUUCACAAUGCCUUUGGUUAUGGAGUUGCAAGUCAUUGCUUGUUUUAUUUUAUUUUAUUGUUGAAUGGAUUGCAUUUAGUUUUGAUUUUGUAUUAGCUUUGAAUUGAGGAUUUUUUUUUUUUAGAUGUUCUAUUCUAUUUUGUACUAGAACAAUAAAAGUUAACUUAUAUAUAUAUUGCUUUGUUAACUUUGAAAAUACAUGCAAUAUCAAGGCUAAUAUAGCCUAAAUGCAAUUAAUUCAAUAAUAAGGAGCUAAAAUAUCAAAAUAUAACACUGUGUAUUGCAUGGGCUCGCUUACUAGUUUACAUUAAUAUUAUGGGCUGGAUUUACUAGUUACCAAUUAAUACUUUUUCUUUUACAGAAUACUUAAUGCAUACGCAAAGGUUCCUCCAAAGCCAAAGGUGUCUUCAAGCAAAAGUGAAUUUGAGGAGCUUGAAGCAGUUCUGAGUAUGUCAGUGAUUGAAGGUCCGCUGGAGCCUUCAUCUACCGUCUCUGCUGCCACUGAUAGUCCAGAAGAUUCU
rnacentral:misc_RNA from 1 species